GCUCCGGUGGCCUAGUGAUUAGAGCGUCCGCCUCGGAUGAGGGAGGUCUCAGGUUCGAACCCGGGCUGAAUCA